rnacentral:rRNA from 1 species
AUUGAACGCUGGCGGCAGGCCUAACACAUGCAAGUCGAACGAGUGGCGGACGGGUGAGUAAUGUCUGGGAAACUGCCCGAUGGAGGGGGAUAACUACUGGAAACGGUAGCUAAUACCGCAUACCAUCGGAUGUGCCCAGAUGGGAUUAGCUAGUAGGUGGGGUAACGGCUCACCUAGGCGACGAUCCCUAGCUGGUCUGAGAGGAUGACCAGCCUUACGGCAACGGACAUACGCCCCAGAGUCCCACGGGUGGGAGCAGUGGGGGAAAGUGCACAAGGCGCGCAAGGCUGUGCCAGGGAUGCCGCGUGAGGGUUGAAGGCUUUCGGGUUGUAAACCUCUUGCGGUAGAGAACGGGUAUGUGCAGAAGAAGCGCCGGCUAACUACGUGCCAGCAGCCGCGGUAAUAC